rnacentral:rRNA from 1 species
CAGUCGCCGCGGUAAUACGGAGGGGGCUAGCGUUGUUCGGAAUUACUGGGCGUAAAGCGCACGUAGGCGGAUGUAUAAGUCAGGGGUGAAAGCCCAGAGCUCAACUCUGGAACUGCCUUUGAUACUGCCUAGCUUGAGCAUGGAAGAGGUGAGUGGAAUUCCGCGUGUAGAAGUGAAAUGCGUAGAUAUGCGGAGGAACACCGGUGGCGAAGGCAGCCCACUGGCCCAAUACUGACGCUCAUGCACGAAAGCGUGGGGAGCAAACAGGAUUAGAUACCCGUGUAGUCCCUGUCUCUUAUAC